rnacentral:precursor_RNA from 1 species
ACAUUACAGUGCAGCAAGAGCCGCAGCAGCUGUGGUCUGUGAGUGGAUCGCUCGGAGCAAGCAAAGGAACUAGUAGUGGCGGCCAUGUGCGCUUAUCAAAGGGUGGCGCUUACUGAGAGUUCCUUGGCAUUCUGUCCACCUCCCUUCUUGACGAUCUUGCAGAAAGUUUGCUUUUUUUGUUUGUUUGGAGGUGGGCAUACUGCCAAUGGAGCUGCGUAGGCCUCCCUUUGUAAAGCCCGCAUGACAUAAGUAAGAGCUACGUUAGAUUUGAUCA